AUGAUGACGAAUUUCAUAAAAGAAGGGUCGCUGGCAGAGGCUGAUGAUAUGUUUUUAGCAAUGGAGAAGGCUGGCUGUGCUCCUGACUCCAGACUGCUAAAUCACGUGGUCAGAGUGUUGCUGGAGAAAGGUGCAGUUGUAAAGGCUGCAACUUAUCUCGCUAAACUUGAUGGAAAACAGCUGUCACUUGAAGCUUCGACGGUUUCGUUAAUUGUAUCUCUCUUCUCAAGGAAAGGGAAAUUAAGGGAGCAUGUAAAAUUGCUUCCGGUAAAGUACCAGCCUCCUGAGAGUUCGACUGACAAUUGA
rnacentral:rRNA from 1 species